rnacentral:lncRNA from 1 species
CAGAUGUCAUGGGUCCCAUAAACACAAAAGAGGCAUUUUUUGCCUGGUGGGGCACCCUCUAACCUUGUCUCAAUAAGAGGGUAAUAUAACAAGGGUAUAUUUGAUAGGUUUAUAAAUGGUAAGAAUGACUCCACCAGCCAGGACAUCCAUUACCAAUGGCGGGGAACCAGCUAAAAGUCGUAUCAGGAGGCAGAGAUGAGAAGCAUGGUUAAGAACUUCUUAGUGGUAUUAGAUCUCACACCAGGUCAUAUGGGUGGACUUCAUAUGAGUAUCACAGAACACUGGUGGCACAAAAUACUAUUGGAUCACAGAAGAGAGAAUGAAUUCCACCUGGAAUGGCUUCCUAGAGGAACUAACGGUUGAGCUAGGUACUUUCUAACCUUCUGAUUCAUGGAGAUAAAAUCGACAUAUAACAUUGUUCAAGGUGUACAGCAGAAUCACUUGGCUUACAUAUAUUGUGAUACAACAACCACAGUAAGUUUACUUCACAUCUAUCAUCUCAUAUAAAUACAAAGAAAGAAAAAAGAAAAAAAGAUUGUUUUAUUUUU